UACGGAGGGUGCAAGCGUUAUCCGGAUUCACUGGGUUUAAAGGGUGCGUAGGUGGGCAAGUAAGUCAGUGGUGAAAUCUCCGGGCUUAACCCGGAAACUGCCAUUGAUUCUAUUUGUCUUGAAUACUGUGGAGGUCAGCGGAAUAUGUCAUGUAGCGGUGAAAUGCUUAGAUAUGACAUAGAACACCAAUUGCGAAGGCAGCUGGCUACACAAAUAUUGACACUGAGGCACGAAAGCGUGGGGAUCAAACAGG
rnacentral:rRNA from 1 species